rnacentral:snRNA from 1 species
AACGGAGUAGCUUCUUUAUUAAU